GAUCUCAUGGACGGGGCCCCCUGCCCCCGGCGCGACUGCCGACCGGAGCGGACUGUCCUCAGUGGCCCCGACCGCGUCGCGUCGCCAGGGCGGGGAUCGGCCCACGUCCGGGCGUCGGGGUCUGCGGCGAUGUCGGCAA
rnacentral:rRNA from 1 species